rnacentral:misc_RNA from 1 species
GAAAUGCGAUAAGUAAUGUGAAUUGCAGAAUUCAGUGAAUCAUCGAAUCUUUGAACGCACAUUGCGCCCCCUGGUAUUCCGGGGGGCAUGCCUGUUCGAGCGUCAUUUCACCACUCAAGCCUCGCUUGGUAUUGGGCGACGCGGUCCGCCGCGCGCCUCAAAUCGACCGGCUGGGUCUUCCGUCCCCUCAGCGUUGUGGAAACUAUUCGCUAAAGGGUGCCGCGGUAGGUCACGCCGCAAAACAACCCCAUUUCUAAGGUUGACCUCGGAUCAGGUAGGGAUACCCGCUGAACUUAAGC